rnacentral:rRNA from 1 species
CCUACGGGUGGCUGCAGUAGGGAAUAUUGCUCAAUGGGGGAAACCCUGAAGCAGCAACGCCGCGUGGAGGAUGAAGGUUUUCGGAUUGUAAACUCCUUUUGUUAGAGAAGAUAAUGCAGGUAUCUAACGAAUAAGCACCGGCUACUUCCGGCCCGACUGCGUAGGUAUUCGGAGGGUUAAAGCGUUAGCCGGAAUCACUGGGCGGAAAGAGGGAGUAGGGGGGAUAGCAAGUCAGAUGUGAACUCCUAUGGCUUAACCAUAGAACUGCAUUUGAAACUGUUAUUCUAGAGUAUGGGAGAGGUAGGUGGAAUUCUUGGUGUAGGGGUAAAAUCCGUAGAGAUCAAGAGGAAUACUCAUUGCGAAGGCGACCUGCUAGAACAUAACUGACGCUGAUGCGCGAAAGCGUGGGGAGCAAACAGGAUUAGAUACCCGUGUAGUC